rnacentral:rRNA from 1 species
GACGAACGCUGGCGGCGUGCUUAACACAUGCAAGUCGAACGAAGAGCGAUGGAAGCUUGCUUCUAUCACUCUUAGUGGCGAACGGGUGAGUAACGCGUAAUCAACCUGCCCUUCAGAGGGGGACAACAGUUGGAAACGACUGCUAAUACCGCAUACGAUCUAAUCUCGGCAUCGAGGAUAGAUGAAAGGUGGCCUCUACAUGUAAGCUAUCACUGAAGGAGGGGAUUGCGUCUGAUUAGCUAGUUGGAGGGGUAACGGCCCACCAAGGCGAUGAUCAGUAGCCGGUCUGAGAGGAUGAACGGCCACAUUGGGACUGAGACACGGCCCAGACUCCUACGGGAGGCAGCAGUGGGGAAUCGUCCGCAAUGGACGAAAGUCUGACGGAGCAACGCCGCGUGAGUGAUGACGGCCUUCGGGUUGUAAAGCUCUGUUAAUCGGGACGAAAGGCCUUCUUGCGAAUAGUGAGAAGGAUUGACGGUACCGGAAGAGAAAGCCACGGCUAACUACGUG